rnacentral:pre_miRNA from 1 species
UGUCUGUGGGAUAAAGGUUAGUCUUAGUGUUGCAAACUAACAUUUAAACCAAUGACAUU